GUCCAUUCGAGUAUAUCCGAUAAAAUUGAAACGAUACAGAGAAGAUUAGCAUGACUACUAUGGAAUGAUGACAUGCAUAAAUCGAGAAGUAGACUAUUAUUAG